rnacentral:lncRNA from 1 species
AAGGACCUUCAGGGUCCUUGCCGCGGUACCUCUUGCGGUCGCCUUCUUCUUCACAUGUGUCCAAGCGGCAUCGCCGUAACACACGUCGUUACACUUUAACAUAAAAUGUCAAAACCAUUCAAAAACCAAACCUAAGCGGCCAGUCCAAAACGACUUAAAACAUUCGUUCCGAUGGUCUUUAAAGGUGUAUAAAUUAUUGUGAAUCUACAUAAUGAACAUCUUCGUUGACGCAACAACGACGACUAUCUAUCACGGUACAAUGUUGUAUUGAUGCGAGCAAAAUACUGUUAUUAGCGAAGUCGCGUGAGAAAUGGCACUUGGUAAUACGUGGUAAUGGUUUGGAUCGACUCUAACCUCGCGUUCCGGUUGCGAAAGAUGCCGGUCUCUUCAAUUCGUCACUGUCCUGAGGGGACUCUUCUGACAGAUGAAAGAUGAGUAACUAUCGAUAUAAUACACCUAAAUGCUACAAUGUUCGAGAAUAUCGCCAUGCGUUACUAAAAGACAUCUUUAAUUUAAUGUAAAAAAACGUUUAUCAUACAUAUCAAAUUAUGAUUACUUUAUGAUGAUGUAUUUUCUGAAAGUUCAAUGUCACAUUAGAUCAAUACCUUGUCAAACUUUGUUGCUGUUCUUAUUUGUUUAUGAUUAAUUCAACGUCUAUAAUGUUUUCUUGUAACUUAUCUAAUUAUUCCGUAAUCUCAAUAAUCCUCGAAUUGUAAGUUUUUUUAACGUCCUUAAAAUCGAAAAACUCUCGUAAGUUUCGGCCAGUUCGAACGACGUGGAGGCCUAUUCUUUUAAUAUAAAUUGUAUUAAUCUUAGUGAUAUUAAUGCGAACCUAUAAUUAGUCAUUCAAAUUCAAAUCAUUUAAUAAUUAAGGGCGACAAGAAGUUGCUAGUUUAACAAGUUGCAAGAAGUUUUAUUACAUUUAAUUUAAUAAAUCGGAUUAACUGUUUUAUAGAGAAAAUUUGAAUAAAAAUGUUUCAAUCCAGGUAGAUUUAGAAAGUAGUAACAAACUAUUUUUAUAAUAAAAUAUCAAACUACUAGAAAAACUUGUCGUGACAUUUCUCGAUAUUUUGCUAAGUAAUGCAUUACAAGUUGCGGAUUGUUUUUGUCGGCCCACGUCGAGUUGCAAUUUCCUCAAUUAAUUAGGCUCGUGCAGACAGUCGACCGUUAGUUUUGCGGACGCAAUCGGACUGAUCUAACGUCAAGAUACACUCUUCGUGUGUAUGUAGACCUCACACGAACAACAUCUGCAGCUAAUAGUCACCAUACAGGAUACGAUCAAGAAGCUACUAUAUCAAAAUGGUAAUAUAAAACGACAACAAAAAAUAGAAAAUCACAAGAUUUUUUGCUACUUAUAUAGAAUUACCGCAUCCGAUUUCGUUACCUUAUUGUGAAAACUAAAACAAAGUCUUAAAUUAGCCCAAAUUUUCAUAUUUUCACAAGUUACACUCAGGUAUUGAGAUAAAUUUUAAGAAAUUACGUUGUCGUGCCGGCUGUGCUACUCAGGUGACCAUAUAAGAGCCGACUCGCCAUAUGGCAUGGGAUAGCAGGUUUUAUUGGGCAACAAGACGGCCUUGUCUUAAUUCUCCAAGAGCUUAUCUAUCCGUCUUUCGACCUCGAUGUUAUCUAAUAAUUUUGUAAACCCCCAUAAAUGGUCAACUAACCGUGAUCUGACUUCACGUUCACACACACAAUUUUUACGUAAAUUAAUACAAUUGGAUUAUAAAAAUAAAAUGUUAUACAAAAAACAAGAAUUAAUUAGAGAUAAUACAUUACGUGAUAUCGGUGUUGAAUCAGAAAAGAUCCUCGACACAUUUCAAUCGUCGAGAUUAUCCGUAAUAUUAAUGGUCCACUAAUACGCAAGAAAUUCAUUUUAGCAUGUUAUUUAUUAAUGGGCAGGUUAGAUAAAUUGGUGAAGACGUUAUAAAUAACGCAGAUUAAUUCAUCACUACAGUGUAGGCGUGUAAUAAAAAACUAGUCGUUAACGGAUGGUGAAAUGGUCAUCUCUAAAAGACGAAAUCCUCUAUAUGCUGAAUGUAAAGGUAAUGCAAUUUGAUGCAAAUCGUCAUUUGGAGGCGACCAAAACCGGAGUUAAUCCGCAACUUCUUUAAAUAGACGAGAUCAUUCAGAAAGCUUAAGGCUCGUGUACAUCCUGACAUAACAAAAAGUAUGAUCUAUAAAUUUGCUGGUUUCUUAUACUAACUGGAUGGUGUCUUAUUUAAUAUAAGCGUCGAUAAUGGCCGUUGAAAAAAAGUGUCCAGGACGAGAAUCUCUUAUGUAAGGAAACAGAUACCUAAAUAAAAGUGUAAGUGGUAGAUGGUUAAGUGUAAACUUGGCUUGGUUCGUUUUUCUUAAAUUUUUUUCUUUUAUUUUCAGAGGCAACGUGAUUUUCACUUCUACCCGCUUCCAAGGACUACUGGUGCGCAUUUGCUCGCCCAGACUCUUCUCGGACCUUUUUCUUGCGCUACUCACUUCGAGCCGCAAAACCAGGGACAAAAAGGAGGCGUUCGUUAUUAACUGUUUUGUCCAGCCGCGGGCUUCAUCGUGUUUCUCUGUAAAAGGAGGCCGCCGACGAGAACAAAUAAUCUUGUAGGGCUUCAUGAUUUACGCCAAUAUUCACCUUAGAUUUCAACACAACAAUUUCACAAUAUUUGCCAAUUUAAAAUAUUACAGGAAAUCAAAUUUUUAUUUAUUCCUAAUAAUUAUAGAACUCGAAGAUUUGUUCUUCUCGCACUAUUGCCCUCUAAUUGGAUUCGUUUACGGUUCGUGGGCGUUCAGAUCAAAAAGAACAAAAAGAAAAAAAAAACAAAUCGUAAGAAAACAACGUUAUAGCGGCUCGAUUGAAAUUGCAGCCUCUGUUGUGGUUUUGGAUACACCACGGGUCAGUGGUUAACGCAAAAAGAACGCAGAACACGCAGGAAAUCAAAUAUUAGGAUGUUCGAUAGUGAAACGGACUGCAAACUAGAGGAAAUUGGAUCGUUUUUAAACUAACCACAUAAUAAAAAAGAAUGUUAAAAGAGAUACAACUAUAACAAAGUCAUUUGAAAUAAUUUAAACCAUCCGAAUAGUAAUUGUUGUGGUAUUAUUUAUUUUAUGUUGAAUGGAAUUAUAAAUUAAUUAAUUUAACAACAAAAAAAUCCUCUUGGGUAGUAGUCAAAUUUCUAUUGAAAUCUAAUUAGAUAUUAAGUGAAAAGGUAUAAUCGUUCUCUUUUCCUCUUAUAGACUUAUAAAGACGCGUAAAAUAGCAGGAAUUUAGUCGAGGUAACAGGCGCGGGGUAAGAACAAUAGUAAUCCCGUGUAGUAAUGAGCGCAAUCGUUCCUACGCUCUUUCCCGAUAUGGAUAUACCAGGAUUCCUGAGGGAUCGGUUAUAAAAUUAUCAUUAGAAAAAUGCUAUUGUGAGGAUGUUUUCUGCGCUUGUCGCCGGAGAUCGUGGGAAAUCGUCGCCGAGCUAUUCCGAAAAUCUUUUGAUCUCGCAUAUAGUAGAUAGGGGGUAAUCGCAGAAGCAACACUCUUACCAAAAGUAGAACCGUAAAGAUGACUCGGUUUUCUUAAAAACAAUUUAUCUGAACCUUUCAAGUUUACUUGUUCCUCACAAGAUCAUAUCGCCACGGUUCAAGAAGACGUGUUUAAAAGAAUUGUACCUGUGUCCAAAAACACUAAAAAUUGUGGAAAACAACUUGGUAUUUUUCUACCUGCUCAGAUUAAUUCAUGUCAUAAAUUUUUCACUUAGGUACCAAAAAAAAUUAAAACCUUAGGAUAAACGCACCAGUGUUUGACCUGUUAAAGAUUUUUUAAUGUCAGUGUUUGACCGAGCCAUAUUAUUUUUCUUGUAGAUCUCUCUGCCUUUACAUAAAAUGAUCAAAAUAUGAUCAAAUACACAUCUGAUUCAUUUAAACUUACUUACCCUACAUAUAAAAUAUAACAUCAUGAAGUAGUAUUUUUUAAAAAUUAAAAAGGAAAACAGUAUUUCGCAUUUAGUGUUUGACCACUUUGAUUACAUUACUUAAAACCGUCAAUGUUUGACCGAUUCUUAAUAUAAUAUUCAUUUUCAUUAUUUUUCCAUACUAUUUUGUUCACAAAAAAAGUUUAUAUUUUUGGACUCUUUAAGAACAUCUUUUAAAACAGGAGUAAAAUGCUCUUGACUUUACUUUUCACCCAAAUUUUGUGUUUUCCAACUGGGUUUUUGUAACAGGAAAACCCCUGCUGAAUGAAACAACCAUUCAACCAGCAGUUUUUCUUCAUCAGAAUUUAAAAAUGCUGGUGGGCCCAUUUUCCUCUGCACAGGUGUUUUUCCUUUUUCUUUAUAAAUAAGGUUUUACUUUGGAACGUUAAACAUCUUGGCUGCUUUUUCAUAAGAUAAACUCCUACUUCUUACAUCGAGAGUCUUUUGAAGAUCUUCUUCACUAUUUUUAAACUUAGGCUUCGUUGUCAUAUUGGUACUGAGAAAAUGUUAACCUGAUUCAUAUUUCCUAAAUUUUCCAUAUAGAUUUUCCAUUUUUUGAUAAUUGACCAUUAUAAGAGUCAGCGUUUGACCAACCUUUUAUCUUUUUAAUUUUACAGACUCAUUACUGCUUAAGUGCGGUCAAUUACUUUUAUUGUUAUAAAAAAGGUUUAAAAAAAUAGAAAAGAAUCAAACAUUUA